rnacentral:ncRNA from 1 species
GCAAUUAAUCGUUGCCAAGCUAAAGAUGGUGGCGAGCUAUACCUGAGCAGGAGGGAUGAAAUAAGAGAAAAUUCUGAUGGAGAUCCGAAAUGAUUUUGACAUGCAAAUCGAUCAUCUAUUUGACUUUAAUAUAGAGAUGAAAGAUUAAUCGAAUUAAUUAGUAGCUAAUUUCUUCUGAAAUUCCCCUCAGGANNNNNNNNNNNNNNNNNNNAGCUGUUAUAUUCGGUAAAACGAAUGAUUUAGAGGAAUUGUGAGACGAAAUGUCUUCAACCUAUUCUCAAACUUUCAAUGAGUAUGACAUCUCGAUUGCUUGAAUAAAACGUAGAUAUUGAAUGUAUAUUACACGCACGCCAUUUCUGGUAAGCAGAAUUGACGCUUUGUUUAGAAUCUAAGCAUCAAGAGAGAU